GAUGAACGCUGGCGGCGUGCCUAAUACAUGCAAGUCGAGCGAACAGACGAGGAGCUUGCUCCUCUGACGUUAGCGGCGGACGGGUGAGUAACACGUGGAUAACCUACCUAUAAGACUAGGAUAACUUCGGGAAACCGGAGCUAAUACCGGAUAAUAUAUUGAACCGCAUGGUUCAAUAGUGAAAGACGGUUUUGCUGUCACUUAUAGAUGGAUCCGCGCCGCAUUAGCUAGUUGGUAAGGUAACGGCUUACCAAGGCAACGAUGCGUAGCCGACCUGAGAGGGUGAUCGGCCACACUGGAACUGAGACACGGUCCAGACUCCUACGGGAGGCAGCAGUAGGGAAUCUUCCGCAAUGGGCGAAAGCCUGGCGGAGCAACGCCGCGUGAGUGAUGAAGGUCUUCGGAUCGUAAAACUCUGUUAUUAGGGAAGAACAAAUGUGUAAGUAACUAUGCACGUCUUGACGGUACCUAAUCAGAAAGCCACGGCUAACUACGUG
rnacentral:rRNA from 1 species